ensembl:snRNA U6 U6 spliceosomal RNA
GUGCUCACUUCGGCAGCACACACACUAAAAUUGUAACAAUACAGAGAUGACUAGCAUGGCCCCUGCAAGGAUGACGUGCAAAUUCGUGAAGCAUACCAUAUUAAA